UCGUGCCACCGCAGCCUCUGGGGUCACUAGCGCUUCUCGGCUGCGCAAUGUGUCAUUUGCGCGUGUUUUGAGCAACGUUCUUGGUGGUUUUCCGCGUGGGAUUACUCUGCAUGCUGUAAUCAUCUCAUUAUUAACUGUGACGCUGCAUUUUUUUGCUCGAGCUAGUCUACCCGAACGUUAUAUAAUCUCCUGACGAAACUCGCUUCGUCGGCACGAAGUGGACUGGGAGCGUAGAAAUGGGCCAGACAGAGUGCGUCGACCAUUUCUUGGAGAAAAUAAGCAACCUAGAACGUCAGCUGUCCAUCAAAGAGCACAUAACUAGGCUAGAAGGACACAUGUCGCUGGUCAAGGACUUGCAAGACAGUGCUACCCGCAUCGAAACUGAUGUGCGAUGGGUACUGGGGCAGCUUGCUAUUAUGCUCAGUGACGUAAAAAUAAGUGCUGGGCAAGAGGACGCAAAGGACGCUGUGUUGCUCGACCUGGCGUUGGUGGCCAAGGACGGUACCGGCGACCGCUGCUGCCCGUGCCAGUGCCAUGCAAAGAAGGAACCGGUACCAUCAAAUAGUGGUGAUGGCACCCAAGACUGGAAACCACCAGAGGGUUCAAAUGUCACAGUAGCAGAUUUGGUGAAGGCGGCGGCACAGGAAGCCGUUGACUCUACUGAUUAUGUUUUCAAUGAAGAGUAUCAGAUGUACUACAGUGUUUCAACAGGUUGCUACUAUGACCCAUCAACACAGCUUCUUUAUGAGCCAACUUCAGGUACCUACUACCGCUACAAUGCGGAUGCAGGAAGCUACGAAGUACAUUCUCAAGUACAGCCCAGCAAAGCACGCAAAGUUCGGAAGCCAAAACGCAAGCGCAAGAAGCUCGAGCUGGAAGACGAGUCAGCUGAGGAGCAGUCUGUGGAAGAAGGGGAGGUGGAAGACAGCUGCACCGACGAGAGUGCCAGUGCAACCGACGAGAGUAGCAGCACAGAUGAAGAAGAUCCUGCCAGCCAGCAGCCUCCGUGCAUUCGCCUUGUACUAAAGGAGCCACAAGACCUGGUGCAGCAUAGGCUGUACUUGGUGACACUUCCAGGAGCCACUUUGGGGACCCACGCUGAUCACGCAGUCUGUCUUCCCAGUGUGGACAGCGUAGAUGAGACUCAUGCAGAGCUACGCUAUUCUGAAGAUGAAGGGAGUUACCUGCUCAAGGAUCUACAGAGCCAGGCUGGAACUUCAUUGAAUGGCGUUCCAUUAGAGCAGGGCCAAGAGUCACUGGUGCAACACAUGGACAGACUGAAGCUGGGCUCAGUCCAGUUGGAAGCACACAUCCACAGAGGCCACAACACGUGCACUCGCUGCGAGCCAGGGCUCAUGGACUCUCCCUCGGAACAGCAGGAGUCACAGAGGGCCCCAUCGCCCAGUUCCGAAGCCAAACGCCGAGCACAGCUCAAGAAACUUAAGGCUAAAUAUGGUCUGAAGACUGCAGAUUUGCUGGGCAAGCACUGCAAAGGGCAUGGAGUAUGUUGCGAGAAGUCCACCAAGAGGUUAUCAGGAUCGUGCUCAGGAACGCAGAGAAACUCGUGGAAGCAACUUUCCUCAUGAGCGGGACUCAGAGCCAGCGAGUGUAGACAAACCAUUGCAACAAGACAACAUAGGCUUCAAGCUGCUGCACAAAAUGGGCUGGAAAGAAGGUGCCGGCUUAGGAAAAAAUCAGCAGGGAGCCACUGAGCCUGUCAAGGUGACCUCCAGAAACACUCGCAAAGGUUUGGGCCACAGUGGUC
rnacentral:misc_RNA from 1 species